rnacentral:lncRNA from 10 species
CCCAAAGAAAAAAACAAAUGUUACCCAAUAGGCAAACAAUGCUGAGAGUUCACUUCCUCUAACUCUGUAGUUAAGUUACUCACUCAGUAUAACAUCACCCUCCUGCCAGGGGUUGAAGUCAGGAAGUAGUUUAUUUUCGCUGAAACUGAAGGGGGAAGUUAAAGAGAAAAAUAGCUGCAACUUGGUCAAUUCAGGAAAACCAGGUACGAAAAAAGAGGAGCAAGUUAAAGGGAAAGCCAGCUCGGAUUUGCUCACCAGUAAAAGGCAAAAAUCCCAGUGUUAUUCAUCUGCAUUUGGUGUGAAAGACAAAAGCUCAACUGGGAUCUGAGGCUUUCUGUGUCAGAGGGCAAGGAGUCAAUGGGGUUAUGAGGAAGUAAGACCACUUGAGACAUCAAAGAAAAGUAGAUCAAAUCACUAGACUCCUCCAAACAGGAGUGGGUGAAGACAAAAAGUGGAGAGAAUCCAGAGGGAAGAGAGGAGUAGGGAAAAUGGUGGAAAGGGAAGGUUUUUGAGAUGGAAGGCAGAGAAUGGGAACAAAAGAAGAAAAAGCUGUUUGUUUCAAAUCAAUAUUCUCCAAGAGGAUGUCUUGUUUCCCCAGGGAUAUUCUGAGGGACUCACAGGAUCAGAGCUGCGACACUUCUAACAUAUGAAUUCUCUCAAUUCUGAUGCCCUUUGACCUCUGCCACACAAUGCCAAGACAAACCCAGACCCCAGGCCCUGGAAACAGAGGAGGGGCAGGACGUGAUAGAGCUUCAGCAACAUGGAGAGGAGAUAGCCGGUCUGGCUAGGAUGGAAGAAAUGUACAUGGAGAAGAAAGACAGAAGAACCAUCACUGAGCACUAAACUAAUCAGCCAUAAUGUGCAGAUUGACUGGCAAGCCUAUCACCACCUUGAUAACAGAUGACAUUAAAGAGAAAGGUACACAAAUAUCCAAGAUUGGAAAGAAGAAAGAAAAUGACGACAGAAUUUUGCAGUCUACAAGGCAAACACUGCCAUUCAUGUAGUUAUGGAGUUCCUACUAUGUGCAGACAAUGGGAAACUUUACGAAGAGCAGGUAUUCAUGGGCAACAAUUUAGGAAAUGAUACAGAAAGAAAGGAAGGCUGGAAAGACCAAAGAAAAACAGCUACAGUUUUGCCAAGAACCAGCCCCACGCUUCAUGAGAAUUGUGAUACAUUUACAUUUGGCUUUUAAUUUCUGUAUCAAUUUGGACUGUGUUUUUGUGAAAAUGAGAUAAUAUAUGUGAAAGUACCUAGCUGAAUUCUUGGGAUAUGGCAAAAACCCAAUAAAUAUAAGUUUUUACUACUGUGUUAAGCAUCUUCUUGUCGUAAGCAGAAUUUACCCAGUUGAUAAGGAAAAGAUAAAGCUUAGUUGAGCCAAUUAGCAUAAAACAUUUC